rnacentral:rRNA from 1 species
AUGAACGCUGGCGGCGUGCCUCAUCCAUGCAAGUCGAGCGAACAGACGAGGAGCUUGCUCCUCUGACGUUAGCGGCGGACGGGUGAGUAACCCGUGGAUAACCUACCUAUAAGACUGGGAUAACUUCGGGAAACCGGAGCUAAUACCGGAUAAUAUAUUGAACCGCAUGGUUCAAUAGUGAAAGACGGUUUUGCUGUCACUUAUAGAUGGAUCCGCGCCGCAUUAGCUAGUUGGUAAGGUAACGGCUUACCAAGGCAACGCUGCGUAGCCGACCUGAGAGGGUGAUCGGCCACACUGGAACUGAGACACGGUCCAGACUCCUACGGGAGGCAGCAGUAGGGAAUCUUCCGCAAUGGGCGAAAGCCUGACGGAGCAACGCCGCGUGAGUGAUGGAGGUCUUCGGAUCGUAAAACUCUGUUAUUAGGGAAGAACAAAUGUGUAAGUAACUAUGCACGUCUUGACGGUACCUAAUCAGAAAGCCACGGCUAACUACGUG